CAAACUGGAGAUGGCGACCGGCGCACGGGUGAGUAACACGUAUCCAACCUGCCGAUAACUCGGGGAUAGCCUUUCGAAAGAAAGAUUAAUACCCGAUGGCAUAAUAGAACCGCAUGGUUUGAUUAUUAAAGAAUUUCGGUUAUCGAUGGGGGAUGCGUUCCAUUAGGCAGUUGGUGGGGGUAACGGCCCACCAAACCUUCGAUGGAUAGGGGGUUCUGAGAGGAAGGUCCCCCACAUUGGAACUGAGACACGGUCCAAACUCCUACGGGAGGCAGCAUG
rnacentral:rRNA from 1 species